UAAACAAAGAGAAAAGAGGGAACGAAGCAAAAGACAAUAAAUCGAAUUUUCAAAAAAGAUUCGAUAUUACUUUAAGACAUGGUAUUGCAAAUCAGUGCCAAAGAGGAGGUAACUUCACCAAGGUCACGGAGUACAAGCUGUGGAAUGUAAACAAAGAGAAAAGAGUGAACGAAGCAAAAGACAAUAAACCGAAUUUUCAAAAAAGAUUCGAUAUUACUUUAAGACAUGGUAUUGCAAAUCAAUGUAAGAGAUGACGAAAUAUCUAAUAAAUAACUCAUGCGGUGUCAUAUUCUUGCUAUAGUACAUGAUUGGGAUGAAAAUAAUUUGAAAAUUAUCUAUUAAUUAAAUGCUUGUUUAAGAUAAACGGACGAUGAUUAAACAACAAAGAAGCAAUAUUUUAAUUCACAUCUAGAACAUUGCAAUAUCUACGUUUUUAAUGAUAUUUCAAGAAGGUCAAUAAAUAUAAUGCGUGUCUAAAAACAAGUUGUUUCUUUAAAAUGUUAAGUGUAUGCAUAAUCAUAAUUAUUUAAGAUGUAUAUUGAUCACAAAAAUUGCUGGAAACACAUAAAACGAAUGAAACAUGAAGCUGUAACAGACUUCACAGCAAUGACAGCUAGGCAAAUUUUUGAAACCAUCAAGUGCCGAUCAUCUUAUCAGUAAAGUUAUCAGGAUUGCAUGGAGGCUAACAUCCACUAAUUACAGUUAGACUUAGACAGAUAUAAUGUGCAAUAUGAUUGCUAAGAGAAAGAUAAAGUUUAUUAAUUCUAAAAGACGAUUAGCUAAAAAGAAUUUCCAUUGUUUUUGUAUGGAUGUCAAACUAUUUCAACAGCAUAAACGUUGGAAUAUCCAUAGAUAUCAUUUUGAUAACAAAUUAAUAAUUGAUACUUACACGUAUUCAAAAAGACUAAAGGAUAGUUUAAUAAGGAAUAUCUAAAUAUUACAUUGAUGUUGUCAAUACUUUAUGUAGAUUAUGUCUAUCGUAAAACAGAAAAAAGAUUAUUUUGAUUAUGAUGAGCAUUAGAAUAUGACAUUCAUACGAACGAUUUCCUUCAUUAGAAUACAAAAUUUGUCAAGUGUUAAUUUUGCUAUUGUUUUUUCCCGUAGGCCAAAGAGGAGGUAGCUUCACCAAGGUCACGGAGUACAAGCUGUGGAAUGUAAACAAAGAGAAAAGAAUGAACGAAGCAAAAGACAAUAAACCGAAUUUUCAAAAAAGAUUCGAUAUUACUUUAAGACAAGGCCAAAGAGGAGGUAACUUCACCAAGGUCACGGAGUACAAGCUGUGGAAUGUAAACAAAGAGAAAAGAGUGAACGAAGCAAAAGACAAUAAACCGAAUUUUCAAAAAAGAUUCGAUAUUACUUUAAGACAUGGUAUUGCAAAUCAAUGUAAGAGAUGACGAAAUAUCUAAUAUAUAACUCAUGCGGUGUCAUAUUCUUGCUAUAGUACAUGAUUGGGAUGAAAAUAAUUUGAAAAUUAUCUAUUAAUUAAAUGAUUGUUUAAGAUAAACGGACGAUGAUUAAACAACAAAGAAGCAAUAUUUUAAUUCACACCUAGAACAUUGCAAUAUCUACGAUUUUAAUGAUAUUUCAAGAAGGUCAAUAAAUAAUGUGUGUCUAAAAACAAGUUGUUUCUUUAAAAUGUUAAGUGUAUGCAUAAUCAUAAUUAUUUAAGAUGUAUAUUGACCACAAA